rnacentral:rRNA from 1 species
AACGAACGCUGGCGGCAGGCUUAACACAUGCAAGUCGAGCGCCCCGCAAGGGGAGCGGCAGACGGGUGAGUAACGCGUGGGAAUCUACCCAUCUCUACGGAAUAACGCAUGGAAACGUGUGCUAAUACCGUAUACGUCCUUCGGGAGAAAGAUUUAUCGGAGAUGGAUGAGCCCGCGUUGGAUUAGAUAGUUGGUGGGGUAAGGGCCUACCAAGGCGACGAUCCAUAGCUGGGCUGAGAGGAUGAUCAGCCACACGGGGACAGAGACACGGCCCAGACUCCUACGGGAGGCAGCAGUGGGGAAUAUUGGACAAGGGGCGCAAGCCUGAUCCAGCCAUGCCGCGUGAGUGAUGAAGGCCCUAGGGUUGUAAAGCUCUUUCACCGGUGAAGAUAAUGACGGUAAUCGGAGAAGAAGCCCCGGCUAACUUCGUGCCAGCCGCCGCGGUAAAAC